UAAUAGGGAGACCAAAUCAAUUAAAAAUGAAAGAUGAAAAAUUAAAAAUGAAUCGAUAGUAAUUUUUCAUUUUUAAUUUCUAAUUUUUAAUUGAUUCAUCCCAGGUCGGUCGAGAUUGGUGCAAAGGCUUUCAAACAUUCACACUUGGUUCCAGUCAAAUCCAAGUGUGGUGGAACCAACCAUUAACAGGUUCGGUUCUGCCCACUGGUGAGACACCAAGACUUUAGUACAUUAGUAUUAAUGACGAAAGAGCCAGGUAUAUCGAACUUCGAGGGUAGUGAUAACAACUCACAUGAAAAAGUUCGGUUUUGCCCACUGAUGAUCUGCUCUUUAAACAGUACAUUAGUAUUAUUGGAAUUGAACCAAGUAAAUCAAACUUCUUCAGCACCUUAUCUAGUAAAGCUAGAGANAAUGCUGGAUGAGUAAUCCAGACAGAACCUUGAAAAUUACAUAGUAACUUGUCAGGUAAAAAGCAUUGAUUGUUAAUAGUUAACAGUCAAUAGCGAUCGCAGACACCAAUUGUUGAUUGU
rnacentral:misc_RNA from 1 species